AAGGAACUAAGGGCGCACAGUGGAUGCCU
rnacentral:rRNA from 1 species